rnacentral:rRNA from 1 species
GACGUAGGUGGCGAACGUUAUCCGGAAUUAUUGGGCGUAAAGGGUGCGUAGGCGGCAUGAUAAGUUAUUGGCGGUAAAUCGAGGCUCAACCUCGUGGAAACUGAUAAUACUGUUUUGCUUGAGUACAGGAGAGGUUAACGGAACUCCAUGUGGAGCGGUAAAAUGUGUAGAUAUAUGGAAGAACAUCAAUAACGGCGAAGGCAGUAACUAUCCUGUUACUGACGUUGAGGCACGAAAGCGUGGGGAGCAAACAGG